rnacentral:rRNA from 1 species
UACGUAGGGUGCAAGCGUUAAUCGGAAUUACUGGGCGUAAAGCGUGCGCAGGCGGCUUUGCAAGACAGAUGUGAAAUCCCCGGGCUUAACCUGGGAACUGCAUUUGUGACUGCAUGGCUGGAGUGCGGCAGAGGGGGAUGGAAUUCCGCGUGUAGCAGUGAAAUGCGUAGAGAUGCGGAGGAACACCGAUGGCGAAGGCAGCCCCCCUGGGCUAACACUGACGCUCAGGCACGAAAGCGUGGGGAGCAAACAGG